rnacentral:rRNA from 1 species
AUGCUUUUUGCUGAUGACUUGUUGGUUUGUGGUAACGCCACAGUUCAGGAAGCUACCCAAAUGGCUCAUCUCAUCAACCACUUCUGUUCCCAAUCAGGUCAGACUCCAAAUUGGCACAAAUCUUCUAUUCUUUUUAGUGCUACUGUCUCCCAGUCUCUAGCCCAACAUAUCAAUAAUAUUUUCCCAGUUACCCUUAUUGAUAGUACAUCAACUCACCUUGGCCACCCUCUCAUCCUUCCUGCAAAGGACCGUGCUUCGGCUUACAACUUUGUUUAUGAUAAAUUCAAGAAUAAGCUUCCCACUUACAAAGCUGAUAAAUUAUCCCAUGCUGCUAGACUUGAGCUUAUCAAUUCGGUGUUCGCUUCCAUACCUGUUUACUAUAUGUCCAAUAUCCUCUUUCCAAAAAAAUUCCUUGCGAAGCUCACGGCAAUCAUUCGUAAUUUUUGGUGGGUUGGUGUUAGAGAGGAAGCUAGUGCAAGAGCUUUAUGUCUUAGGGCUUGGAAAGAUAUUUGUACUCCUAAAAAAGAAGGUGGAUUGGGAAUCAAAAACAUGUUGGCUAUGAAUCAAGGUCUCCUUGCGGCUGCCUGGAGACUUGCUGAAAAUCCAGAAAGCCAAGUCUAUCAAGUUCUCCGUGCUAAGUAUUUUCCUGAUUCUUCCAUUUGGAGAGCUACUCCAAAUACUCCGAAAUCUGCUUUCUGGACUUCUAUUCUCAAGGUCUUGCCGAUGCUCAAGGAGCAUUCUUUUUAUCAGAUCACCCAAGGCAACAUUUCUAUUUGGAGCUCACCUUGGUGUACCACUUGGGAGAACAUAUAUGAUCACCUUAUUGUCCAGCAUAGUGCUUUUAUUUACCCGGCUAAGGUCUCUGAUCUUUGGCUUCCAGGCCAAAAACUUUGGAAUUCUGAGUUCAUUACUAACCUCUUUCAGGAACCGACUGCUUCGGCUAUUAUUGCAACUCCUAUAGUUCUUGAUGAUAGUAGGGAUAUCCUUUGUUGGAAGCCCACUCCUUCUGGUAAGUGCAAUUCUAAGAGUACAUAUAAGUUGUGUUUACAACAAAUUCAUAAUUUGCAGGUAAAUCAACCAAGACAGGUGAACCAAUCAACCAAAGAUAUUUUGCAGCAGGUCUGGAAGCACAAAUUCAUGGCUCCAAGGGUUAAAACUUUUGCGUGGCGCUUACUUAGGCAUGCUCUCCCAACUGGUCUUAGAGCUGGCAGGUUUUCCUCUCAUAUUUCUUCUACAUGCUCUAGAUGUGAUUCAGAUGAAGAUGAAAUGCAUCUUUUCUUUCUUUGCAACUUUUCUAGAGCCUCUUGGUUCGGACACCCCUGGUAUAUUAGAUCUGAUAUUCUUGCUUUCAAUCAUAAUUCUGUUCUUGAUAUUAUUCAGGUUCUAAUUAACAUGAACCAUCCGCAAUCAUCUAUUCCUAAUAUAUUUACCUUCUUGUGGUGUUUGUGGAAAGCAAGAAACGAUGUUCUUUUUUGUAGGAAAGAAUCACAUCCCCAUCAGGUUCACCAAGCUGCUCUAGCCAUCGCCUCUGUCCAAGAUAUACAAGAUCCUCAAGAACACCUAAAUAGGGAGCUGCCUUCAUCGGAGGAGAAGCAAUCUACAACCAUACUCUCUCAAGGGCAAGAACAAGUACAGCAAGGCUCCACCCUCAAAUCUGACUUGGCUAUUUCAGGUACCAAAAUAUAUUCAGACGCUUCUUGGCAUAAGAAGAAUGUGCCUGGGUAUGGUGGUAAUCCGGCUACUGGUAUUGGUGUUCACAUCCUUUUCCCUGAAGAGGGUUCUGAUUCAAGAAUAAUGAUUCAAGCCUCUACUCAUGAUGUUUGUUCACCUCUUAUUGCUGAAGUUUAUGCACUUCUAUUUGCUGCUAAAAUCUCUUGCAGGCUUCAACUUCAGCAAGGUUCUUUUCUCACUGACAAUCUUUCAUUAGCAAAGAUGGCUGCUUCAAGAGAUAUCAAUAACACCAACAUCAGCUGGAGGUGCAGACAACCAAUUAGCGAGUUCUUUCAAAUCUCUCAUUCUCUUAAUGCUGUUUAUCACAUCUCUAGGAAUACCAAUGGAAUUGCUCACAAUUGUGCUCAUCAGGUUCUCAACUCGAGAGUAGAACCUGUCUUUAGUUGUUCACGUUCCUCUCAUGCCAAUGUACCUUGCCCUUUUCUGCAGUCCCUUCUCAAUUUUCAAGUUUAG